rnacentral:rRNA from 1 species
AGAUGGCGACCGGCGCACGGGUGAGUAACACGUAUCCAACCUGCCGAUAACUCGGGGAUAGCCUUUCGAAAGAAAGAUUAAUACCCGAUGGCAUAAUAGAACCGCAUGGUUUGAUUAUUGAAGAAUUUCGGUUAUCGAUGGGGAUGCGUUCCAUUAGGCAGUUGGUGGGGUAACGGCCCACCAAACCUUCGAUGGAUAGGGGUUCUGAGAGGAAGGUCCCCCACAUUGGAACUGAGACACGGUCCAA